GUUUGCACUUGUCGGGGAAGGGUGAGAACCUUCGAUUAAGGUUCGACUCGAGCGAAAGCGAGAGAACGUUGCCAAC
rnacentral:sRNA from 4 species